AAAAAAAAAACCCUUCCCCAGGUUAUCUCCUUUUCUUCCUCUUACUUGGUUCUUCCCUCUCAAUUACUGCAUGGUUGCCAUAUAUGGCAGAAAAUAGGAGCAAAUAAGUCCUAACUCUCGCUUGCGACUCUAAUUUAAAGGUUACAAUGCUGGGUUAAGUAGUGAUCAUUUUGUAUUUUUUCCUUGGUGUUCCCUUUUCUCUUCCAGGAAAAAAGAGUUCCUUUCUCAAAUGUUCACGAGGGGGGAUAAUUAUUUAUUUAUUUUUUUGUUCUUCUAAUUAAUCCGAGAUGCACAUCUCCAGCCAUCCAGUAACUUCCAUUGAUUUUGAAACUGAAGAUUUUCUCAUCUAAUUGGGCAUCAUGGCCCACUUAAAAAUCAUGUUGAUCAAAUGCAUUGAAAUUGUGUGAAACUCUCGGUUAUGAAGGCUGAUGCUUGAGGUUGGCUGUUGUUGGUAAUUUACAGGUUCUAGUAUUGACUUGCGAUUGAAACUUAGUAGAGCUGUUUUUAUUCUAGUUUGGUGGUUGACUUGAUUGUUUAGAAUUUUUUAUUUUAUUUUUACUGCGUCUCAAUUAUAUUAUGAUGUUUCUACCUCAAUUUGAAGUUGAAUCCUAUUGGUUUAAACUUGAAAUUUGUGAUAUAUUUGUAACAGUGGAAGUUCCUUGUAUGGGAGGAUUUUGAAUUCAGCAAUUCUUGUAGUGGGCUAAAAAAGAAUGUGCUUGAUGCAGGGAUCAAUUCUUGAUUGGAGGACAACUAGAAGCAAAGAUCAAAUGGAAAUUUAAGGUUUCCUAGUUUGAAUUCUGGAGAGGUGUUUCAGUACCAAAAUUCGGUUGGCUUCCUGGUGGCCUUGAUUAAAAUUUGCAUUGAUAUAUUUGAAGGAUGAAAAGGGUGAAGAAGGCUGAAAUAGUCCUAAACUUGCUGACCCACUCAUUCAAGAAGCCAUUUUCUUGCAUGGGAUUCGCCACCAAGUUGAAUGGCUCGAGGAAGAAUUUAAGCAGAUGCAAUGCUUCCUGAAAGAUGCAGAUGCCAAACAAGAAGCAUAUUGGACGUCAUUAACUUUUUUAAAUUCUUAGUUUGGGUAGCUGCGACCAAAUUUCUCUUUUCCUAAUUGUCUAUUUGUUGGCGAGGAAACAGAGAUAAACUUGCCUAUAAACUGCACCAAAUCUGGAACUAUCUCUUUUUUGAUUGGGUAGUACACUAUCAAUGUGGAACAUUAAGAUUGCUGUUAUUAAUGUUACCAGUUUGAAAGGACUUUCAGGGUUUGUUGGGACAGUAGCAAAAUUGCAGUUUAAUUGUGGUUAUGUAGUUUUACAAAUUUCGAAUUUAGGAUUGGGAAAAGGGCUGUUCGGACACAACAAAAUUACAAUUUAAUUGAUGUUUUGUAAUUUUACAAUUUUCAGAUUUAGUAUUAGGAAAUAGAGUUGUUUGGACAUCA